GGGCAGGUGGAGGCAGGAGCCCACAAAGCCGUGGGCCAAGGUGGUGACAGGCGAGGCCUGAGAGCCGGCACGGGGCAGCAAAGCUGGGCAUGCCCCGGGGCUCCUGGGCCUCCUGCCCAGACCUGUGGCCAGGGCCCCGAGGCUGAGCUCCCUCAGCCCCUGGGCAGCAAUGGGGCCCACACUGAGCCCCAGGGAGCUGCAGGCGCACCUCUUGCUCCUGCAGGCUCUGCCUGGGCCAGCCCAGCCAGGCUCUCCCACAGAGGCCGCAGCCAGAGCCACGGGGCUCAUGCCCUGCCCUCCUCGUUCUGUGUCUUGCAGCCCCUCAGCUUCCACAGGGAAUUGCUGCCAGGGCCAUGGGGCUCAUGCCCUGCCCUCAUCAUUCUGUGUCUUGCAGCCCCUCAGCCUUCGCAGGGAAUUGCUUCCAGGGCCGCCGCUGCCAGAGCCACGGGGCUCAUGCCCUGCCCUCCUCGUUCUGUGUCUUGCAGCCCCUCAGCUUCCGCAGGGAAUUGCUGCCAGGGCCACGGGGCUCAUGCCCUGCCCCUCCUCGUUCUGUGUCUUGCAGCCCCUCAGCCUCCACAGGGAAUUAAUGCCAGGGCCACGGGACUCAUGCCCUGCCCUCCUCGUUCUGUGUCUUGCAGCCCCUCAGCUUCCGCAGGGAAUUGCUGCCAGGGCCGCUGCUGCCACGGCUGCUCAGGAACAACCGUGGCCUGAUGGAGCUGUGUCUGCAGCACCCCUCUGCACACAAGGCACUGCCGAGAGAGAGGAGCCAGAUGUGGCGUUUGGAAGAGGAGGAGAAUCCGCUUCUCCCCUCGAACAUGUCUCUCAGGCUCCAGCCCCGCUUUGGGCUAGUGGCACGUGGGAGGGAAUGCAUGACCAGUGCCAACACCAGGCACGGGGACAUUCCUGAGCAUAGCUGUGCUAAAGCCCCUCAUCUUUAGUCAUUGUUUUUAGGAAAGUUUUUACUUGGAAGUUGUAUUUUUCAAUUUUAAGAAAGUUGAUGGUUGUUGGGCAAUGGGGUCCUAGUAUUUCCCGCUGUUAGUUGUAGCUUUUAAAAGUCUUAAAGUUCAAUAAGGCUCAGGUUUUCCAUACAUUGCCAUGAUCUUUUGCUGUUCCACACGAGAUGGGAGGCAGCAAUUCAUGGGUUUGCACGGGAGCUCCACACCAGCACUCCUGCACCAACAUAUUGCUACUUCCAAAAGACUUUCCUUUUGUUUACAAAAUAAAGAGACAUGCUUAUAAGAAGUUAUCACAGGAAUAGAGAAGGAAGCCCUCAGAGGAACCCUUGGAUGAGAGCCAAGAGUUUCUUCAAAAACCAGUAUGAUACUAGCAAGUGGAGAUCACCCCAUCUGGAAUUCACAAAUUUCUAGGGCCUGCCUCAACAAGCUUCUGUGUCUUUCACCAGAGUGCUAGAAGGUUCUGCUGCAAAUGUUUCAGAAACAAAGUUUUUAAACCUGAGAACUGAUGUCAGUUUUUGGCGGGUCCUCCUCCUGCAUCUGGACUUCUCAGCUCAAGUCUCUCAGGAAGAAAUGACGCAGAACCAGGAUUCACAUACUGAUUUGUAUGAAAAGUCAAACUGAUAUCAUGUACCAUCUUGAAAGUUCCGUUUCAAGGUCCUUUUUACAAGGCCUGAACAGAAAAGUUUCAUGUCACUAAACCUUCAAGGGCAAAAUAAAUACCAAGCCCCUAAGAAAAUUGUUCUAAAAGUGAGCCAGUCCUCCUGGACCUUUUUUUUUUUCCUUUCUUUGUUAUUCAGAGUUGUAGGAAAUAACUUCCCUUGAUUUGGGGGGAGGUGUUUGUUGUUUUUGUUAUUUUCUUAAAGCAAAUGAAAUUAAUGGUUGUGACAAACAGAAAAGGAGGAGUAAAAGUAAAGCACCACCAGCUUCCUUCAUUAAAGUUUGUUUUCCACUUCACUGUGUCUAGUAAAAGAGCCCAGGAAUAUCUCUACAACCCAGGAAUGCUGCAUUAUUUUGUUUUGUUUAAAUGAGGUAACACACGCCAAUCCAGCAGCAAGAAAAGAUUCUUUCUUUGCUGCAGUGAGAGUAUGUGCAGCAAAUAGCUUCCAUUAGUUCACAGAUUCAAAUUUAUCUCCAUCACUGUCACAGAGAGACAAAACAUCAAUUGUUGGUCAAAGGCUAGAGAACAUUUGGACAAUAGGGAGCAGAAAAUAUUCCAAACUAAUUCAUGUCUACCAUAAAAAAGAUACCAAUUUAUACAAAUCAUGUUUUUAAAAAAAUGUGGAGACAAAUAUGACUACAAUAAUCACAUUAUUUCCUUAAAAACCGUUACCUUUGGGCAACAUCAACACAAAUAGAAUUAAUAACUCGUUGAGAAAUAUUAAUUUCUUUCCUUUCAAAAAAGGUGAA